rnacentral:rRNA from 1 species
CGGGGGGAGCAAGCGUUGUUCGGAUUUACUGGGCGUAAAGGGCGCGUAGGCGGCCUCUGCAAGUCGACUGUGAAAUCUCCGGGCUUAACCCGGAACGGUCAGCCGAUACUGCAGGGCUAGAGUGCAGAAGGGGCAACUGGAAUUCUCGGUGUAGCGGUGAAAUGCGUAGAUAUCGAGAGGAACACCUGCGGCGAAGGCGGGUUGCUGGGCUGACACUGACGCUGAGGCGCGAAAGCUAGGGAGCGAACGGGAUUAGAUACCCCGGUAGUCCUAGCCUUAAACGAUGAAUGCUUGGUGUCUGGGGUUUUAUAGUCCCCGGGUGCCGUCGCUAACGCUUUAAGCAUUCCGCCUGGGGAGUACGGUCGCAAGACUG